rnacentral:rRNA from 1 species
UAUUGGACAAUGGGGGAAACCCUGAUCCAGCAAUACCGCGUGGAGGAAGAAGGCCCUUGGGUUGUAAACUCCUGUCGUUUGGGCCCCAAGAUUUUAAAGUGAAUAAUUUUAAAAUUUGAUGGUACCAAAGGAGGAAGCACCGGCUAACCUCGUGCCAGCAGCCGCGGUAAUACGAGGGGUGCAAGCGUUGUUCGGAAUCACUGGGCGUAAAGCGUGUCUAGGAGGUUUGAAAAGUCAGUUGUGAAAGACCCCGGCUCAACCAGGGAAGGGCAAUUGAUACUGUCAAACUUGAGUCAUGGAGAGAUGAGCGGAAUUCCGAGUGUAGCAGUGAAAUGCGUAGAUAUUCGGAGGAACACCAGCGGCGAAGGCGGCUCAUGGCCAUGUACGAUCUAAGCACGAAA